rnacentral:rRNA from 1 species
GACGAACGCUGGCGGCGUGCUUAACACAUGCAAGUCGAACGGAAAGGCCCUGCUUUUGUGGGGUGCUCGAGUGGCGAACGGGUGAGUAACACGUGAGUAACCUGCCCUUGACUUUGGGAUAACUUCAGGAAACUGGGGCUAAUACCGGAUAGGAGCUCCGGCUGCAUGGUGGGGGUUGGAAAGUUUCGGCGGUUGGGGAUGGACUCGCGGCUUAUCAGCUUGUUGGUGGGGUAGUGGCUUACCAAGGCUUUGACGGGUAGCCGGCCUGAGAGGGUGACCGGCCACAUUGCGACUGAGAUACGGCCCAGACUCCUACGGGAGGCAGCAGUGGGGAAUAUUGCACAAUGGGCGGAAGCCUGAUGCAGCAACGCCGCGUGCGGGAUGACGGCCUUCGGGUUGUAAACCGCUUUCGCCUGUGACGAAGCGUGAGUGACGGUAAUGGGUAAAGAAGCACCGGCUAACUACGUG